rnacentral:rRNA from 1 species
AGAGUUUGAUCCUGGCUCAGAACGAACGCUGGCGGCAGGCCUAACACAUGCAAGUCGAGCGAGGGGUAACCCUAGCGGCGGACGGGUGAGUAACGCGUGGGAACGUGCCCUUUGCUACGGAAUAGCCCUGGGAAACUGGGAGUAAUACCGUAUGAGCCCUUUGGGGGAAAGAUUUAUCGGCAAAGGAUCGGCCCGCGUUGGAUUAGGUAGUUGGUGGGGUAAUGGCCUACCAAGCCGACGAUCCAUAGCUGGUUUGAGAGGAUGAUCAGCCACACUGGGACUGAGACACGGCCCAGACUCCUACGGGAGGCAGCAGUGGGGAAUCUUAGACAAUGGGCGCAAGCCUGAUCUAGCCAUGCCGCGUGAGCGAUGAAGGCCUUAGGGUUGUAAAGCUCUUUCAGGGGGGAAGAUAAUGACUGUACCCCCAGAAGAAGCCCCGGCUAACUCCGUGCCAGCAGCCGCGGUAAUACGGAGGGGGCUAGCGUUGUUCGGAAUUACUGGGCGUAAAGCGCACGUAGGCGGACUGGAAAGUCAGGGGUGAAAUCCCGGUG